rnacentral:rRNA from 1 species
ACGAACGCUGGCGGCGUGGAUAAGACAUGCAAGUCGAACGAGAGAAUUGCUAGCUUGCUAAUAAUUCUCUAGUGGCGCACGGGUGAGUAACACGUGAGUAACCUGCCCCCGAGAGCGGGAUAGCCCUGGGAAACUGGGAUUAAUACCGCAUAGUAUCGAAAGAUUAAAGCAGCAAUGCGCUUGGGGAUGGGCUCGCGGCCUAUUAGUUAGUUGGUGAGGUAACGGCUCACCAAGGCGAUGACGGGUAGCCGGUCUGAGAGGAUGUCCGGCCACACUGGAACUGAGACACGGUCCAGACACCUACGGGUGGCAGCAGUCGAGAAUCAUUCACAAUGGGGGAAACCCUGAUGGUGCGACGCCGCGUGGGGGAAUGAAGGUCUUCGGAUUGUAAACCCCUGUCAUGUGGGAGCAAAUUAAAAAGAUAGUACCACAAGAGGAAGAGACGGCUAACUCUGUGCCAGCAGCCGCGGUAAUACAGAGGUCUCAAGCGUUGUUCGGAAUCACUGGGCGUAAAGCGUGCGUAGGCUGUUUCGUAAGUCGUGUGUGAAAGGCGCGGGCUCAACCCGCGGACGGCACAUGAUACUGCGAGACUAGAGUAAUGGAGGGGGAACCGGAAUUCUCGGUGUAGCAGUGAAAUGCGUAGAUAUCGAGAGGAACACUCGUGGCGAAGGCGGGUUCCUGGACAUUAACUGACGCUGAGGCACGAAGGCCAGGGGAGCGAAAGGGAUUAGAUACCCCUGUAGUCCUGGCAGUAAACGGUGCACGCUUGGUGUGCGGGGAAUCGACCCCCUGCGUGCCGGAGCUAACGCGUUAAGCGUGCCGCCUGGGGAGUACGGUCGCAAGAUUAAAACUCAAAGAAAUUGACGGGGACCCGCACAAGCGGUGGAGUAUGUGGCUUAAUUCGAUGCAACGCGAAGAACCUUACCUGGGCUUGACAUGUAAUGAACAACAUGUGAAAGCAUGCGACUCUUCGGAGGCGUUACACAGGUGCUGCAUGGCCGUCGUCAGCUCGUGUCGUGAGAUGUUUGGUUAAGUCCAGCAACGAGCGCAACCCCUGUUGCCAGUUACCAGCACGUGAAGGUGGGGACUCUGGCGAGACUGCCCAGAUCAACUGGGAGGAAGGUGGGGACGACGUCAGGUCAGUAUGGCCCUUAUGCCCAGGGCUGCACACGUACUACAAUGCCCAGUACAGAGGGGGCCGAAGCCGCGAGGCGGAGGAAAUCCUAAAAACUGGGCCCAGUUCGGACUGUAGGCUGCAACCCGCCUACACGAAGCCGGAAUCGCUAGUAAUGGCGCAUCAGCUACGGCGCCGUGAAUACGUUCCCGGGUCUUGUACACACCGCCCGUCACACCAUGGGAGUCGGAAAUGCCCGAAGUCGGUGACCUAACCGCAAGGAAGGAGCCGCCGAAGGCAGGUCUGAUAACUGGGGUG